rnacentral:rRNA from 1 species
GUUGGUGAACCAGNGGAGGGAUCAUU